rnacentral:lncRNA from 1 species
GCGGGGAUUGCAGGGACGGGGUUAAACCGCGGGUGGGGACGGCACCGCCGAGCCGGGCCGGGACUCGGGGCGGCCCAGGGGACUCAUGGAAAGCGGCGGGACGGGCAGAAGCGGAGCUCGGGGCUGUGACCCGCGAUGGACUCACAGGGCCGGAGCUCGGUGAGGAGCCGGUGCUCGGAGUACCCCGGGCAGCGCACGGCUCCGGGAAUGGCGAGAGGUAAAUAAAGAGCUUGAUAAAAACCGUAUCCAAAAAUCCCGGGAAACGGCGCUGCCUUUUACGGCAGUCGCGAUUUUCGGGUCCUUUUACCACAGUCGCGAUUUACGACAGUCGUGAUUUACGGCACUUCAAUUUGCAGCACUUUAAAAUAAAGUAAAAUAAAAUAAAAUGCUUUAAAAAUAGAAAUAUCAAAAGUAAAAAUAGAAAAACUAAAAACAAAAAUGAAAAAUAUAAAUGAAUUGGAACAAAAAAUGAAAUAAUAGCUGUGAUUUUAUUUUUUUUUAAAUUUUAUUUGGUUUGGGGCUGCCCAGGGUGGGGGAAGGGGUGGGAACCUUUCGAAAGGAUUCAUUGAUUUAUGAUUUAUCAAUUUGCGAUUUAUUACUGCGCGACUCAUUGAUUCACUUUUUACUAAUUGGUGGUUUAUUAAUUUACGAUCUCUAUUACAUUAAAUGGAAACGAGUUGUGAGAACUGCACUAAACUAAAGCAGGUGAGGUUUGGGGUCCCAGGUGAGUUCUCAGGUGAGUUUGGGGUCUCUCAGGUGCCGGGGUCAAGGGCAGGGCGGUGACGCCUCCAGGUGGUUCCCAGGUAUCCCAGGUGUGUCCCAGGUGUCCCAGGUGUGUCCAGCUGUGCCCAGCUGUCCGUCACGCGCAGGGGUCAAAGGGCAGCGCGGUGACGCCCCCGUGCAGCUCCAGCCCCGCCUGUGCCCAGGCCAGCAGGUCCCCGCGGGGGGGGGCGGGGCUCUGGCACCGCGCCAGCGCCGCCACCUCGGGCGGGGCCAGGGCGCGGCCCCACAGGUGCAGCUCGGCCAGGUCCCCCACGAACGCCUGCGAGGCGUCAAAGCGGCCGCCC